UUAAAAAGAACGAAUGUGUUCCCCCUCCUCCCCAGUUUGGUCGUCCCUUCUUCGCCCACCCGCCUGGGCCAGGAAUCAACAUGGGCCGCGCUGCUCCGCAUGAUCAUCACAUCACAGCCCACACGCCAAGAAUCCUCGUCCUCGUCUGCCCUUUCGCCAAGCCUCCUUUCCCUCGCCUCCUACGCCGCCGCAUGCUGUUCCCCAUCUUUGGGAACAUCGCCUGCCUCAUUCGCGACGCGACGCCGUCGACGCCCCGGAGCGCGUCGUCCUCGAGUGGAUCGAUGGACGCCGUGGUGUCUCCUCUUGUCGAUUCCUCCUCUGUGGGUUCUGCAUCUUCAGCGCUCGCUUGAUGGCCUCCAAGACGACGCUCUGUCCCCACCCCAGCCGUCGGCCGCUCCAUCUCGAGGUCCACCCCGCCUCUAUCUCGCCCCCUGGCCCAGCCGCUCCUCCAUCUCGAGAUCCAACUCGCUCUCCAUCUUGCCCCAGUCCUGCCGCCCACCAUCUCUAGGUCCACCCUCCUCCCGAGGCUGAUCCCCGAAGCACAACUCCGCCGUCCUCCUUGAAGUCAGAUAUUAGGAGUCACCACCCAAGCCGAAGCAUCUCUUGGCCGAUACUAGGCAGGAGGAUCCAGCAGCAUCGACUAAAUCGAACAGAUUUGAUCCAUCUACUCGCCACCUGUGGCUGACGCCUACGAUCAUGGAUGGAUAUGGCGCUCCACUAGGAAAACAAUUCUUGCCCCUCAAACUUUCAGGUCCGAUACUCCCACAAUCUCGAAAAAAUACUCUGUAUAACUUAAUCCCUUGGAACCCUAUCUCGAUGAUGCAAUAUUUUACAUGAUAGAGUUGCAUCAUAUGGAAACGCAUGGUGAUCAGAUCUGAAAAGUAUGCUUGUGUUUACAUAUCUGUAGUUUUUCUUUCACUCCUAAUCCAUUUACCUCAUAUGAUUUGCAUCAUAUGCCGCUACAUUUUGUGUUAUGGUAUCGUUUUAAGCAAGAAUCUGUUUUUGAGAUUGAUUUGAUUUGCAGAUAACCUUUCUUCACUUAUUUUGAUACCAUGACAUGUUCAUAUGUUCAGUACAGUCUUGCAGAAACAGUGAUGUGAAUAGCAACAUGUCCAUGCUUGAUUUCAUUUUAUUUUCUUAGAACAUCACUGCAGUCUAUGUCAUUGCCACUGAAGAACAUCACUUUAUUUGUAAGAUCUCCAAACUUCUUCAUCAAAGAUGUGAAGUGAUUAUGUUCACUUAUAUGGAAGCAGGAGGUCUUGUGGACAAAUCUGGUUAGAGUUGACGAUUCAAACACCGGAUGGCUUCAGCAGAUGUCUCAAGCUGCCCAAGUUCUUGGCAGAUGCGUACGGUCACAUCAGUUCCUCGUCUACUCUCACAACAAUUACUACUAUUUUGCUUUUUCGUGGAGACUGCUCAAAGCGAUAAUGAAUGUUGAUUAGCGAGCUGUCGUGUGCUGGCCAUUUUUUUAUGCAGCCCCAAUCGUCACUUAAUGCGACCAAAAACAAACUCUAUUUGCUGCUGCCAUGGUUUGGGAAGAGUAUUUGUCUGUAGAAAGGCUCAGUCUGCGUCGCUUGGAGCUGAUGUAACUAAUUAAUAUCAGCUUUCAAAUGAUACAGGAUCUAUGGCCUUUGGUUCUGAAAAUUCUGCACAUGGUAAGAUGCCUGCUUUUAUUUAGCUGACAGUUACAAUCGUUCGAAUGUAAAAAUAACCAAGGAGGUCUAAUUAAGUAACUUAAACAAAUGAGACACAGAUUUGUACUCAGAUGUCUAUUCCAAUAUUUGAUUUUUAUCAUGGGGGAUGAUUAGAACAAAGGUAAAGAAUGUUUGUUGUCUACCUGAAAUAUUCUGUAUAUGUGGCAUACAUGUUAUCUAUACAGCUUUGUACUCAGAUGUCUAUUCAGUUACUUGAUUUAAAGCAUGUCUCUGAUGUUUAGUCUCCCCUCCUGUAUUUUCAGAACAAGCCCUGCUGGAAUGCCCUCCAACUGAAGUACUUUGUGGCAGUUCCAAGCAAUUUGUCCCAUGCACGCAACCCAAUGCAGACGCCGUCGCCGACGUCGCCAUGCCAGGGGUAAACGAGUUCCACACGAUUUCUCUUAAAUUUGUGGAAAUUGCGUCUCAAGGGAGGAGAUUGGGGAAGCAUGUUGUCAACCAAUUCCUGUCCAGGUUAGGAAUCCUAUAAAUGAUACAAUCACUUCUUAUUUUUGUACUCUCAUGUUCUGCAAUACCACAUAAAAUCGCUGACGUAGUUUUAUUACCAACAGUUAUGUGCAUGGAAGUCCGGUUCCUUUUCCAAAGUGCAAGUUUGCAUUGUUCAUUGGACAAAUCCUAAACCCGCAAUUGUAGUUAACUUUCUGUAGAAUGGAAAUUAUUCCAAAGGGAGUUAAAAAAUGAAUACAUGUGUGCAAGUGAUGAUUUAUGUCUAUUGUGUGCGUCAUAUCCAAGAAAUGCACUCAAAAGUUUAGCUUGAAGUAUAGUUUACCAAUUUCUUGUUUAGAAUAAUUCAUUGAAAUUUUUGAUUUAGCUCAAACAAGCACUUGAAGAUAUAUUUUCCUGCAAGUACAGAUGCUUCUGAGUUCCUCCCUCUUGUCCAGUUGCCGGUGCGCUCGUCCAAAUCUGAUGUUGAGUGCGAAGCUGUUCUGAUGAGCUAUGGCGUGAGGAGCAUAUGGUGGCACUCGGAGUGAGACGAUGUGAUCUGAGUAUAAUUUUCCGAUGCUCUAUGUAUCAUUGUACAGGUUUAAUAUAGACUUAUGCUAGCAUCUCCCGAAGCUGCCAAUGAUGAUGAUUAUGAUAUAGUUUUUGCCUUUUUGGUAUCACUGGAUCAUGAGUGGUGAUGAUCCACUAUUGACAUAGUGCAGUUGCAAAGUUUAGGUGUAUGUUUCCUGAGACAUGAUCCUUUCCUUUUGUAACUUAUUUGUCGAGAUGUAAGUGUUUGGUUCAUACAUCAUUGAUCUUUUCUUUUUUCGUGAGACAUGAUUAAUGCUUAGCUGACCACUUUUUUUUCGGAUUCAAAAGAUACGCACCUUACUUUUUUUGUUUGCUUUACUUUGCUCCUGGUUGGACUCUUUGAUGUGCUAGAACAUUGUGGAAUCUGGGGUUGAGUUAGUACCACAUAUUGUCUUCUUCAGGACCCCUACAUCUUUGAGAUCCUUACAUGUAGGAACGUGAAGUAGGUCUGGCAGCAAGAGAGGGGCGGACAGAGGCAAGGUGAGGAAAGCUUCCUAAGCCGAAGGAGACAUGGUGCCCGGAGGAGCACUAGCGCUUCCUCGACACUCUCCUCAGGUUUGCGCCUACAAGAAGAUCGAGGAGCACAUCUGCACCAAGACCAUGGUACUGGUAAUCCAAGUUCAUUCCCGCUCAUUAUCCAGAAGCUUGGCCUUGCCGCCAGGCUUCCGCCGCAAUACCCAAGCCGCAGGCUUGCCGUGCCGCAGCCGCCGCAGAGCUCGCCAGCAGGUUCAGAUAAGAUCACUUUUCACACCAAUAUCGAAAUUCACAACCGACUGAGUAAAAUGUGAAUCAGUACUGCACAGUAAGUGAUACAGUUUCACAAUAUUCAUCAUCCAUGGAUUACUAAAUUCACAGUGAGUGGUCCAUGUUUAUUCAGUUACAACUAUCUUCAAAUAUCUGAACCUACACGCUCCCAUUGACUGAAACUUGCUGGUAUGUAAUGGCUGCACAUCUAUGCCUUGUUGUACAUUCAUUUGUUAAAUGUUGGUAGUUUCCCAUUUCCGCUAUUAAUCAGAUGAUUUUAGAAGCAGAGCAAACAAUGAUAUAUGAAAUUACAAUGGUGAGCUCUAUGCAUGUAAACAUAUAGUUAUCAGUGGUGUCUACGCAUAAGACUUGGACAUUGAAUAGUCAAGAAGCGUGUCAGAAGUUUUUAAUUGCGAAUUCAGCGUCUAGAAAGGAUGGCAAUAAGGUAUGUUUAUAGAAUUUAUUUGUCAAGUAAUCAUAUGUCGUUUUGAUUUAGUAGCAGAAAGAAACAACCGGACCUACUUGAACUUUAUGGUUAUAUGCAUUAUUAGAAUGAAAUAAUUACAUACAUGUUUCUGAAAAUUGUUGGGAAAACUAUUGUUAGCUCAUCCAUUUGGGAGCAAAACACAAUGUUCAAUUGUUGAUAUAUAUUCCCUUCUGUUGAGUAAUUCACAUGUCAGGUCUGGAAGAUGUAGUUAGUGUUUAGCAAUGAUAUAUCUACAGAGACUCAAUAUUUAUUUUCUAUUUUUUUGGUUCAAAUUCCUUUCUGACCUUAAUUACUUAUUUCUUCUGAAUAUGUGUUCACCAAAUUAAAUGAAAAGGACUAGAGAAGGAGAAGCACAACGAUCUUGAGUACAACAUUAUCAUCUACUGUUUGCACCGUCGAUAAUGCAGUGGGCAGUGUAGUAGAGGCAGUAGGACGGAAAGACAUACCUUACUAUGGAUAUUAAUUAUUGUGAAAAAGUAUUUAUUAGGUAAUUGGUGAUAUUCAAGCUGACUUGUAAAGAUAUUUCAUAAUUGAGUGAGCAUAUUUGGAGUACUCA